UUCAGGUAUACAACAUAAUGAUUCAAUAUUUGUAUAUAUUAUGAAAUGAUCACCACAAUAAGUCUAGUUAACAUCCAUCACCACACAUAGUUACAAAUUUUCAUAACAAUUUCUUAAAGGCUUUAAAUCAAAGAGGUUUUUAAUUUUAUCAAAUAUUUCAUUAGCAUUUAUAAGGAGCCUUGCCGUCCCCCUUGCCUAUCCCAGGUUCUCCUGCCUCUUGGGGGCCUCUGAGCAUUACCACUCUGGCCUCCAGGGGGCACUGUAUCUUCUUUAAUAUUGUAGCUCAAGCGUUUCACUCAAUUCCCCAGGGUAUAGAUAAGCGGAGGGGAAAUAUUUAAACAAAAGUUUACAAAGGAGUCCAGAUGAACAGAAGGCAACUGAGUACAGGCAGUAAUAUACAACUAGAUAAUCUGGUUCACUGAACGUGGUGUAGGCAUUUCAACAUUUGACACCGUAAAAGGAUUCCUGCCUACCUGGCUUCCUACUGCAUGCACAAAGCAGAAGCCACUUUUUUCUACCCUGCAUUAUGUACUCAAGCAAGGAAAAUUCUUGGAAAACUAGCUCCAAGAUUGGUAAAGCUAGUUUCAGCUCAGGGCUUCCUUUGAAAUUCUAGUCUCCUGUCUCAGUAUCUGCCUCUUUCCUAGAUGGUAGACAUUAAGCAUGUCAACCCUCUUCAAGGAAGAUGGGAUUGCCUACCCUGGGUUGUAGCUUUACACUGUUGUUGGGAAAUGGUUAUCUAUGGGUCUCUCAUGCCUCUGCAUGUCUUGCUCAGUAUGCCAAGAAUUCAAGGCCUGACCACUUGUAUUACUUAUCUAUUACUGCAUAACAGAUUAGUCCAAAACUGCAUAGGUUUAAAACAAUAAACAUUUAUUUUCUGACAGUUUCUGUGGAUUAGGAAGCUGAGUGCAGCCUAGCCAGGUGCCCCUGACUCAGGGUCUCUGAAAAGGCUGCAAUAAGGUGUAGGGCAGGGCUGCAGUCAUGUCCAGCCUUGAAUGGGGGAGACUCUGCUUCCAAGCUCACUUAUGUGGCUGUUAGCAGGCCUCAAGUCCUUGCUGACUGUUGGCCAAAGACAUCCUUUCCUUGCCAUGCUGGUCUCUCCAUAAGGCAACUCACAACGUGACAGCUGUCUUCCCUCAGAGUGAGUGAGUGAGAGAACAUGAGAGGGUGCCCAAGACAGAAGCCACAGUCUGUUUAUAACUUCACCUCAGGAGCAACAUCCUGUCACUUGUGCUGUAUUCAGUUAGUAAGAAGUAAGUCGGUAAGUCCAGCCCACAGUCAACUGGAGGGGAUUUGCAAAAGAGUGAAUACCCGGAGGCAAGAACCAUUAUGGGCCAUCUUCCAGGCUUUCCACCACACCACUCUUUACCCAAGCCAUUUUUCAUGGUUUGUUUGCAGCAAGCAAUCUUGAGAGAUGAAGUAUCAUCUCCUCUGGGACAAAGAGCUGGCUUAGCUUGCUGCUUGCUAGAAAAGCAGUGGGUUCCCCAAGCUCAUUGUUUCCUUGCUGCAACACAACCCACUGCAUGUGUGGCAUCUAUCCGGGCCCCUUCGCAUCACUCCUGUGGAACUUGGAGGCAAGAGGAAUUGAUGCAAACAUUCUGAUGUUCAUGCUUUUUAUGCUGUGCAUUGAGAUAAAAGCUUCUUUUUCUCUGACUCAGAUGUCUGGUGUCAUCUUCCAGCAUCU
ensembl:lncRNA